CCGACCUUAGCUCAGUUGGAAGAGCACAAGACUGUAAUCGUUGAACCGCAGGUACCUUCAUCUUGGGGUCGCCUGUUCGAACCAGGCAGGUCGGA